CCCAACUCAGACUAGACCUGACUCUCCUCAUUUCUCACGGAUGGAACUGACUUGAGCAACUUACUACCAUUCACUAUACAUGGGCGAAGUGUCUGCAGGCCAGACUCUUAUCACGGCAGAUGCAGUGUACAGUUUGGAUAGUGAUAUCUGCAUAAGGUUUCACCUCUUCGAGAAUGUGUGGCAUUGAUCUCGAAGACUUCAUCCUGCUUCCAGACUCUGGAUACCCUCUCAGCUUUGAGUAUUCAACAUUAUUGAAACUGUUCUGAACUUUUGCUGAACUUGAAGUUAAAUCAAACUCAGGUACUGCGUAAUCUCCAAAAACAUGAUCUGGAGACACCAAAUUCUCAUAGUCUGGCUCAUCGUCAUCACCUUCUGCACUGUGGUCAUUUAUAGGUGUAAUGUUUUCAUAAUUAGGAGUAUUAUCUUUCGUGUUUGCGUGACUUCUGUUAUCUUCCUGCCUGCUUCCAAAGCCAUUGAGAGUGUUAUUACUCUCAUGUGGAGAACUGUCAUCAAUAAUUGCAUAGACACAUUCGCUUUGUUCUGUGUUCUCUACAGUAUUAAUAUUUUGUGUUUUGCACACUCCCGCUACACCGUAAGCCUCAUUGCAACUCGUGGGUAUGUCUUCAUUCAACUUGACAUUAUUACUUUCUUCGUCACUCACACGUUUCUUUCUCAUUACCUCAGAAACAGAGAGGAUAUCAUCGUAACCAGAUGAUACAUCGAGGUGGUCCUGGGAUAUAUCUGCACUUUCAAUUUCAACUUGACAUCCCUUAAUCAGGUGUUCCUUUGUCGGAGGGAGGAUCACAGAGACUCAAUUAUGCACACGUAAACUUUCCACUUCCUUAGAUUCUAUUGAGUAUAAUUAUUGACAACAUAAUUAUUAUGAAUAUCAAAUGAAGUUGUGUCGACUAUUGAUCAAGUUUUCAUGCAUGCUAAUGAUCUUAAUGUA